CCUACGGGUGGCAGCAGUGAGGAAUAUUGGUCAAUGGACGAGAGUCUGAACCAGCCAAGUAGCGUGAAGGAUGACUGCCCUAUGGGUUGUAAACUUCUUUUAUACGAGGGUAAACGCAGAUACGCGUAUCUGUCUGCACGUAUCGUACGAAUAAGGAUCGGCUAACUCCGUGCCAGCCGCCGCGGUAAUACGGAGGAUUCAAGCGUUAUCCGGAUUUAUUGGGUUUAAAGGGUGCGUAGGCGGUCGGAUAAGUUAGAGGUGAAAUCCCGAGGCUCAACUUCGGAAUUGCCUCUGAUACUGUUCGGCUAGAGAGUAGUUGCGGUAGGCGGAAUGUAUGGUGUAGCGGUGAAAUGCUUAGAGAUCAUACAGAACACCGAUUGCGAAGGCAGCUUACCAAGCUACUUCUGACGUUGAGGCACGAAAGCGUGGGGAGCAAACAGGAUUAGAUACCCGAGUAGUC
rnacentral:rRNA from 1 species